AGGACGAACGCUGGCGGCGUGCCUAAUACAUGCAAGUCGAGCGAAUUUUUGGGAGCUUGCUCCCGAAAGUUAGCGGCGGACGGGUGAGUAACACGUGGGCAACCUGCCUAUAAGACUGGGAUAACUUCGGGAAACCGGAGCUAAUACCGGAUAAUUCUUAUCUACUCAUGUAGAUAAGCUGAAAGACGGUUUCGGCUGUCACUUAUAGAUGGGCCCGCGGCGCAUUAGCUAGUUGGUGAGGUAACGGCUCACCAAGGCAACGAUGCGUAGCCGACCUGAGAGGGUGAUCGGCCACACUGGGACUGAGACACGGCCCAGACUCCUACGGGAGGCAGCAGUAGGGAAUCUUCCGCAAUGGACGAAAGUCUGACGGAGCAACGCCGCGUGAGUGAUGAAGGUUUUCGGAUCGUAAAACUCUGUUGUUAGGGAAGAACAAGUACGAGAGUAACUGCUCGUACCUUGACGGUACCUAACCAGAAAGCCACGGCUAACUACGUGCCAGCAGCCGCGGUAAUACGUAGGUGGCAAGCGUUGUCCGGAAUUAUUGGGCGUAAAGCGCGCGCAGGCGGUCCUUUAAGUCUGAUGUGAAAGCCCACGGCUCAACCGUGGAGGGUCAUUGGAAACUGGGGGACUUGAGUGCAGGAGAGAAGAGUGGAAUUCCACGUGUAGCGGUGAAAUGCGUAGAGAUGUGGAGGAACACCAGUGGCGAAGGCGACUCUUUGGCCUGUAACUGACGCUGA
rnacentral:rRNA from 1 species